AUUUAGUAGUCCAGGCACUGAUCAGGUAAUCAAAUGCAAAUUGCUAAAUACUGAUUCACAAGCAGGGGAGCUGAUUGAGACACAGUGCAAUGAGGUUAUUGGCAGCUACCAUAUGGAGGAGGAGGGUCUAAAAAAAGCCUGGCCGGCACCCUCAGACUCCUCAGAGAAUGAGCGCAAAAUCACACAGUUCAACGAUGUCUGGCAUCUGGAGAAAGUAACAGCAGUGCGUAAUGUAGGAGAAUAGCCCUCCAUCACUGACACAGACGUCUUCAUUUCAUCAACACCAAACACACCUGGAGACACAAAUGAACAGUCACUCUUC